rnacentral:rRNA from 1 species
CCUAGGGGACGCAGCAGUGGGGGAUAUUGCACAAUGGGGGGAACCCUGAUGCAGCGACGCCGCGUGGGUGAAGGAGCGUUUCGGCGCGUAAAGCCCUAUCAGCAGGGAAGAAAAUGACGGUACCUGACCAAGAAGCCCCGGCUAACUACGUGCCAGCAGCCGCGGUAAUACGUAGGGGGCAAGCGUUAUCCGGAUUUACUGGGUGUAAAGGGAGCGUAGACGGCAGGGCAAGUCUGGAGUGAAAGGCGGGGGCUCAACCCCCGGACUGCUCUGGAAACUGCCAGGCUGGAGUGCAGGAGAGGUGG